rnacentral:rRNA from 1 species
AUGCCAUUUUUAUCAUGCUCAUCCCUCAUUUUUACCAUGGAAGCCAUUUUCUUGGUACGACAACUUAUGGAGAGAUAUAGGGAGCAUAAGAAGGACUUGCAUAUGGUGUUCAUUGACUUGGAGAAGGCCUAUGAUAAGAUACCGCGGAAUGUCAUGUGGUGGGCCUUGGAGAAACACAAAGUCCCAGCAAAGUACAUUACCCUCAUCAAGGACAUGUACAAUAAUGUUGUGACAAGUGUUCGAACAAGUGAUGUCGACACCGAUGACUUCCCGAUUAAGAUAGGACUGCAUCAGGGGUCCGCUUUGAGCCCUUAUCUUUUUGCAUUGGUGAUGGAUGAGGUCACAAGGGGUAUACAAGGAGAUAUCCCAUGGUGUAUGCUCUUUGCGGAUGAUGUGGUGCUAGUUGACGAUAGUCGGACGGGGGUAAAUAGGAAGUUAGAGUUAUGGAGACAAACCUUGGAAUCGAAAGGGUUUAGGCUUAGUAGAACUAAAACCGAGUACAUGAUGUGCGGUUUCAGUACUACUAGCUGUGAGGAGGAGGAGGUUAGCCUUGAUGGCCAGGUGGUACCUCGGAAGGACACCUUUCGGUAUUUGGGGUCAAUGUUGCAGGAGGAUGGGGGUAUUGAUGAAGAUGUGAACCAUCGAAUCAAAGCCGGAUGGAUGAAGUGGCGCCAAGCUUCUGGCAUUCUCUGUGACAAGAGAGUGCCACAAAAGUUAAAAGGCAAGUUCUACAGGACGGCGGUUCGACCCGCAAUGUUGUAUGGCGCGGAGUGUUGGCCGACUAAAAGGCGACAUGUUCAACAGUUAGGUGUGGCGGAGAUGCGUAUGUUGAGAUGGAUGUGUGGCCACACGAGGAAGGAUCGAGUCCGGAAUGAUGAUAUACGAGAUAGAGUUGGGGUAGCACCAAUUGAGGAGAAGCUUGUCCAACAUCGUUUGAGAUGGUUUGGGCAUAUUCAGCGCAGGCCUCCAGAAGCUCCAGUGCAUAGCGGACGGCUAAAGCGUGCGGAGAAUGUCAAGAGAGGGCGGGGUCGACCGAUUUUGACAUGGGAGGAGUCCGUUAAGAGAGACCUGAAGGAUUGGAGUAUCGACAAAGAGCUAGCUAUGGACAGGGGUGCGUGGAAGCUUGCUAUCCAUGUGCCAGAGCCAUGA